rnacentral:tRNA from 1 species
GGUCCGUUGGCGGAGCGGCGACGCACUGGAUUGCAGAUCCAAUCAGCCUGGUUCAACUCCAGGACGGACCUCCA